UUGAACUCACAAGCCGUGAGAUCGUGACCUGAGCAGAAGUUGGACGCUCAAUCGACCGAGUCACCCAGGCGCCCUGGCAUUUUACACAUUUAUUUAGAAUAAAUGUGAGUUCUGUGAAAGCAGAUUUGGUUUGGUCCACGUCUGAAGCCCCACUACUGUAAGGCCAGGUAACUCAGGCACUGGCUGUGGAUGAAUUACUUUUAAUGAAGACCGACUAGGUUAUGUGAUAUUUCCCCCUUUCCUGCUUCCCUCACCAAGGUAUUGGACAAAAACCCAGUGAGGUGGCCCUUUAUAAUCUGCCGACAGACUAGGAAAUUGCCGAUCUAGGACCUUGGGAAAAAUGCUUGGUCUCUAUAUGGGGACUGGACAGUCUUGGACGCUGAAACACCCUUAGAACUACAUAUGAAGGUCAUAGAAUUUUUUAGAAAUCAUAGAGAAUUCCUUGCCUCCCAAAGUGUUGUUUUCUGGGUUACUGCUGAGAUCCUUGUCAAUGGUCGUGGCUACACCUCUGAUGUAAACUGAACCGCUCUAUUUUUCUGGGCUGAUCAUAAUUUCAAGGGAAAAGCUGUAACUUCUUUUAAAGUUUUUUAAAAAGCUGUAACUUCUAACUUCCAAGUCUCCCCUUUAGAUUUUAGUUGUACCCCGCCAUCUAGUCCGACACACUGGGAUCCGGCACGUUACGUAAAUCUGUAGCUACGUUAUGGUAGGUGUCUGUGGCGUAUAAAUAACAAAAUUAGGGGAAAAAAGACAUACCGCUUAAAGUAACUUCCUUUCUCGGUUCUUCAAAUAGGAGUGAGGAGGGAAGAAAGGAGAGCCCGUGGCUAGGGGACACGUCAGGCGAAGGACACCAGGCACCACAGUGGGCGAUGAGACGGACGCGUCUGAGCAGUGGCUGGUAGUCUGCCCACCUGGGGACCUGGGAGGUGUUCCGGGACAACUAGGAGAUACGGUUUUGUGGGCUACUCAAAAAGAUACAGAAACUAAGGUCACGUUAACUUUCGGAGUCUCCCUGCUCGUCCCUGGUCGGGGCCUGGCAUACCGGGAGUGGUUAGCACAGUCUGGAGAGCUGGUGGGCCGGCACAGGGGGAGGCAUGGAAGAGGAUGAAGUUAGGCAGUGACCGCAUAGUCCCGGGGCUCCGCAUCUGACCUGACAGCAUCUCUGAAGGGAUCAAAUUAAGGGAACAGAGUGGGAUCUUUCAGGGUUCAGGACGCGUUUCCACAUAAAUCCUGUUCAUUUAGGAAUCGGUGGUACAGGGACAAGAGUCCUCUCCUUGCAGACAGACGCAGGGUUUCCCAUUUGGGGAUCUCCUCUGAAAUGAGGACCCUUCCCACAGAUGCAGAGGCUUCAUUUCCUUGGAAUCUGAGCGGCUCAGAUUCCAGCCGGAGCUUACCCUGUGACCGGGGUCCAGUCCUCCUGGCCAGUCUUAUCUCUCCCCAAUGGGACGACCUAAGUCCUACGUGACAGAAGCCUCGAGAAAUUGAGGAAUACCAAGGUGACGUUCCUUUAUAGAUGCGUCAAGUUACGACAGAAAAAGGUCCUGAGAUUUAAAUGGCUACGUUAUUUCCUGAAUUCUGUUUUUCACCGUCUGGCAUCUUCAGUCAAGGAGGGGCCCAAAUCCCAGUGUAGGUCACUGGCAUUUAUAUAAAUAAGCCAAAAAGACUGCGUGGAUUUUUUUUUUUUCACUUGUGAAAAUCUGCAGCGCCCCCUCCUGCAGAAGAGUCCUUUUCUGUGCUAGCCUGUUGUCAGAGCUCUCCAUUCUCAAGGCCAGGCUGGGAAGUUGUCAGGUGCCCCUUAAAAGAGCUACCUGAUCAUCAGACUCCAUCCGGAGGAAACCUGAUGCUGAUUUCUGGCUGACGCGUCACCCUGCCUGCCAGGGGCAUCGUGGGCACGGUCGUCUGCUUCAGAAAUCUGGGGGCCAAGGAAAAGCAGGAUGCUGCGGCAGACCCCCAGGAACCCCGAGUGUCCCGUGCUGCCGGCCUCGUCACGGUCACCGUCACGGUCCCCGCCAGCACGCGCCCAGAGCUCUCCUGUCCCCUCUCCGUCCCUGGCGCCCUGGGGAAUGGCGCAGGUGGACUCCUGACAGCGGCGCGUCCCCGGCAGGGACGGGAAGGUCCAUGCGACACGGGUCUUGGGGAAUGGCCAAGCUUCCGCGUAAGAAACGACAAGAGAGAACUCCAGACCCAGGGUCUACGACAGAGAAAGUUCCAGAAGGCCAGACUGAACCGCACCAUUCCUACUGCAGAAAGGCAUUUGCACUUUACUAGCGUGAAGCUGUGGGCACCGAGCGCAGGACCGCAACACCCCUGUGGGUGGAGAAGUACUCACACACGCGGACGGGCGGACUGCCACACACCGGGGAGACCGUAGGGAUCGUGGCUACACAUCAAGAUUCUGCAGAGACCAGGUCACCAAGACAGCCCAGAGGAGACGGCAGAAAGAGGACAAGGAAGACAAUACAAGGACCAGGAGCCACUUCGGUGCAGGUAUUGUUACCGCUUCCGAUUACCUGUACAUUUCUGUAAAUCUGUAAACUGCUUUUACGGAGGGAAAAAGUGCCAGGUCCGCAGCUAAGAGGAAGCCUGCUCUGAGGGCUGAAGCGGGCGGGACCAACGGCCAGCUUACAAGAUGGCCGUUUGGUCACGUCCCAGGAACAAAAGUAAACCAAAGAAUGGAGCCAAAUAUUUCAAGGGACUGUCUUCUACCUACGGACCGGGUCACUGGAACCACCACCUACAUGAGCUAUGUAUGUAGCUCAUGUACAUGAGACACCAACAUGAGGGGUCUAGUAUUUUUACCUAAAUAAGUCUUUUUGGUAAUGACUAAAGCACUUUGUGAAAAGUCUAGGAUUUUUCGAUACAUAUUUAAAUAUUUUUAAAUUGCUUUUCCAUCUGCUCAAGUUGGAAUUUUUAAAAACUUCAUUUUUAAUUUGUAAUAAAACUUGACCAUUUUUUUCCCCAAAAGUUAACGUGUAAGCAUGACUUAAUAAAAGCUUUUUUUUUUUAAGUCACUUUUCUAAAUUGUGUUCCAUGAAACCAUCUUCUUUUAAAAAAUGUAUUUAUUUUGGGGGCGCCUGGGUGGCUCAGUCGGUUAAGCAUCCGACUUCGGCCCAGGACAUGAUCUCACA